rnacentral:rRNA from 1 species
GACGAACGCUGGCGGCGCGCCUAACACAUGCAAGUCGAACGAGCGAGAGAGGGCUUGCUUUCUCGAGCGAGUGGCGAACGGGUGAGUAACGCGUGAGGAACCUGCCUCAAAGAGGGGGACAACAGUUGGAAACGACUGCUAAUACCGCAUAAGCCCACGGCUCGGCAUCGAGCAGGGGGAAAAGGAGCAAUCCGCUUUGAGAUGGCCUCGCGUCCGAUUAGCUAGUUGGUGAGGUAACGGCCCACCAAGGCGACGAUCGGUAGCCGGACUGAGAGGUUGAACGGCCACAUUGGGACUGAGACACGGCCCAGACUCCUACGGGAGGCAGCAGUGGGGAAUAUUGCACAAUGGGGGAAACCCUGAUGCAGCGACGCCGCGUGGAGGAAGAAGGUCUUCGGAUUGUAAACUCCUGUUGUUGGGGAAGAUAAUGGCGGUACCCAACAAGGAAGUGACGGCUAACUACGUG